rnacentral:rRNA from 1 species
UACGGGGGGGGCAAGCGUUGUUCGGAAUUACUGGGCGUAAAGGGCUCGUAGGCGGCCAACUAAGUCAGACGUGAAAUCCCUCGGCUUAACCGGGGAACUGCGUCUGAUACUGGAUGGCUUGAGUUUGGGAGAGGGAUGCGGAAUUCCAGGUGUAGCGGUGAAAUGCGUAGAUAUCGAGAGGAACACCUGUGGCGAAGGCGGCCAACUGGACGAGUACUGACACUGAGACACGAAAGCGUGGGGAGCAAACAGG